CAAAAUUCAAAAACUCAAAUCUCUCUCCAUCGUUCUCUUUGCCUGCCGGUACGGAAGCUCAGCACCGUCACCGGAGUAAACGCAAAAACUUUGCUCGCAAUGCAAACAGAGGAACCGCCGUUAGAGACUUUUCAUCUGUUUCCGAAAACCGAGGCUCGAUCCCUUCGCAGUUACUUAGCAAAGAUAGCUGUCGUGGCUUAUGGCCGUCACCGGGGAAGCAAUCAGCGAUUGGAUCACCGUCGAGCAGCAGAGAUGAAGAAUAACAAUCCAGAAGUGAUGAUGGCUGUUGAUGCAGCAGCGAGGAGAAAGAACAGCGGCAGCGGCGAGUGGUGUUCCUGCCAACAGUGAAGAAGUUGUAGCUAGAAGCAAGUUGAUGACACGGUGAAGAGAACGAGAGCUCUGAGAUCCUACCAUCGACGGUGUUGUGGAGCCUGCAACUGAACACUGUGCCAAUCCGAAGAUAUGCUUCUUUCAUGUUCUCUUCAAGGUGUGCAUAUAAAAGGGUUUCAUUCAAAUGAAUAGUGGCCAAGCUAUUGGAAUGCUUCUGAAAUUUGUGAACCAUAUCAGUGCAUACAGUAACGAUUUGUACAUUGUCUCAUAUGAAAUGAGCGUGCAUGUAAUCCUCUUCUUCUUAAGGUAAGUCAUUCUAAUUUAACUGGACUUUGAAGGGGUUCCUUUGUUGGAUGGCAAACAUUAAUAUUUAACUAAGUUUAUAUGUAUUGUAAUAUUGUCUAACUAAUUUUGUUCUUCCUUCUCUGGCCAUUGUGGAUGCAUUCUUCAAUAGAUGUUUCAUAAAUUGAUGCUGAUGGCAAACAGGCAAAGUAACUAAACAUUAUUAUUAAGUUUAUUGGAACCUGUAUAUAUUAUGUAGUUCUUAUUUUUUAAAAAUUUAGAUGGUUAGUGAUUUUAUUAAUUCACACCUUAUCAUGUGAGAACAGCAAAUCUAUAGAAGCUUAGCAUGGUGAGUUAUCAAAUCUUAUGCCUUAUUGGCUUAUUCUUAGUUAUUUUGGAUGGUAUAUGGGCACAUCUAUAGAAGUGUAAACUGUAAAAGAAACUA